ensembl:lncRNA
AGAGGCAGUAAGGCAGGGAGAGAAGCUGGUUAGGCAUUUCCUGAUUGAAGUCAGCGGUGCUCCAUUUGCUGAUGGAGAGAGCUGAAGGGCCAGCUGGGAAAAGCUGGGAGAGACAGGGCCAGGGAAAUGGGGCCAGGCUCUCCCAAACACAUAUAAACUUGGAUGAAAGGUCAGACUCCAGCUUAUUUACAAACAACAGUGCAUUACUUGAAUUCCCCAAAGUAAUACUCCUAGAGGAGUAUUAACUAUUAGCUAGGAGUCCUUCCAGACUGCAAACUUGUCUCGGAGCAAUAGUAAAACAUCUUGUUUCUUCUGUCCAAAAGAAGCAGUUGGAUUGUCUCUUGGCUUUGGCUAGGCAAAUAACAUCCUCCUCGAAACAAAUCUGUCUGUUUCCUUAUCCUUUAAAGGUGGAACAACUGCGAUGCCAGGGUAGACCAGGGCCACAUGCUCCUUCCUACCUCCAAUGCCCUUCUGAAGACCUCAAACCAUAGAUACUGAAUUAAAGAAGAGAUGCUGCUGCUGCUGCUGCUAAGUCGCUUCAGUCGUGUCCAACUCUGUGAGACCCCAUAGAUGGCAGCCCACCAGGCUCCCCCGUCCCUGGGAUUCUCCAGGCAAGAGCACCAGAAUGGGUUGCCAUUUCCUUCUCCAAUGCAUGAAAGUGAAAAGUGAAAGUGAAGUAGCUCAGUCAUGUCCGACUCUUCGUGACCCCAUGGACUGCAGCCCACCAGGCUCUUCCAUCCAUGGGAUUUUCCAGGCAAGAGUACUGGAGUGGGGUGCCAGAUGAGAAACCCGAGAGGACCUGAUGCUAUGCUUUUUAUGUAGCAGUAAACAGGUGAAGGGGGACAGAGUCAGAAAUGAAAU